AUUCUUACCUGGCAGGGGAGAUAACAUGAUCACGAAGGUGGUUUUCCCAGGGCGAGGUUUAUCCAUUGCACUCUGGGUGUGCUGACCCCUGUGAUUUCCCCAAAAGUGUGAAACUCAACUGCAUGAUUUGUGGUAGUGGGGGACUGCAUUCAUGCUUUCCCCUA
ensembl:snRNA U1 U1 spliceosomal RNA